UUGUAAGAAGCCGAUUUUCCGCUUGGCAGUCCACGACAACAAUUUCUUUCCAAUCAACUACCAUUUUUGUCCCUUUCAUUGAUCGUUCGAUCGUUUCAUUGUUUACGCAAAUCUUAUCGAUAUUGAAGUAGUUUGUAGAUAUACAUGUAAGUAGUUCUAUCGACUCAUUCAGUACUCGUAGCAUUCAUUGCGUUUGCAAUAUCUCGUGGAACUUUUGCCACAUGCAUUUUUCAAACAUUUUCUCUAUAUUUAACGUUUCAUUGCACUCGCGCUUGAAAAGUUCUUCGAUAAGACCAAUGGAUUACAGAGAAUUCGUGGCAAUGAUCGCGCCAAUCGAAAGUUCCGAGAUUUAAAAUUCCUACAAGGAAACGCUGUCUCAUCAGCAACCACGAAGCGUGUGUUAAUCGAUACACGUUUCCUUGGCUUCUCUUAGCCAAAUGGAGUAAAAGAUUGAGAGCCACUGAGACCGCUGGCAAAUAAAUAGAUCACCGACGAAGCUCCUUCGAUUGUCAAUACUCUUCAGAAUUGGAUGAAGAACGAUAGCAGGAAGGAAGGAAGGAAGGGAGGGAGGAAGAGGUAAAGUAAUGCAUUACUGGCAAAGAAGAGGCGGAAAGAGGUGAAACGGGUAUGUAUGGUAGACGACACGAUGUCAGGUCGGUUGGACGAUGACGAACGCCCGCUAUCAACUUCCUGCUAGAAUUGAUAUAGAUGCGCGGGCCCUCUGUUCCUACUACGUUAAACGCGACGAAAGGGUCGUUGAUCCG
rnacentral:misc_RNA from 1 species